rnacentral:rRNA from 1 species
CCUACGGGUGACAGCAGUGAGGAAUAUUGGACAAUGGUCGGGAGACUGAACCAGCCAAGCCGCGUGUGGGAAGACGGUCCUCUGGAUUGUAAACCACAGUCCCCAGGGACGAAGAUGACGGAACCUGGGGAGGAAGCUCCGUCUAACAACGUGCCAGCACCCACGGUAAUACGUAGGGAGCGGGCGUUGUCCGGAAUUACUGGGUUAAAGGGGAGCGUAGGCGGGACUUCAGGCUGGGUGUAAAAUCCACCGUCUCACCCGGUAGCCGCACUCAAAAUUGCAGUUGUUGAGUGAAGUAGAGGCAGGCGGAAUUCCUAGUGUAGCGGUGAAAUGCGUAGAUAUUAGGAGGAACACCAGUGGCGAAGGCGGCCUGCUGGGCUUUUACUGACGCUGAGGCUCGAAAGUGUGGGGAGCAAACAGGAUUAGAUACCCGAGUAGUC